UUCCAGAAUUAUGAUCAGGAAAUGGGUGCAGAUACUCCAUUCCUACACUCAAACAGUCAAGCAGGAUUUGAUCACAAGACCUUCGAGAAAGAAUUGAAAGAAUAUCAUCUCGAUAAUCUGACGAAAAUCUUUUUAGACAAUAAUAUAGACUGUGUACGACAAUUUCUGGAUUUGGAAGAGGAGGAUUUUAAAAGGUUAAAUUUGGACAAAAAUCAAAUGAGAAAAUGCCAACUUGUGAAGAAGGAAAUCGAAGCAAGAUAUUUGAGAAAGAAAACGAAUUUGAAAGAUAGACGUAUAACUGUUUGAUAGGGAUUAUAUAGAGAAAAAGGUUUGAUGGAUAAAAAACUUAAAAUAUCAGUAGUUUAUGAGGAAAAAAGGCAUCAAAAUGAUGAAGAUCAAAAAAGAUGUGUAAAUGAUAGUGUAAACAAUUGUUUUGACAAAAAAUGUAAGGAUCUGUGAAUGCAUUAGAACACUUCGAAAAACCCGUAUAAAUCUGAUUCGUGUAAUUUAUUAUGCAUGUAAAUACAAAACAUAAUACAUGUAAAAUUUUUAGUCUUUGUUCAAGAUAUGCCAAACAAAAAGAAAUAAUGGUCUUACAU